rnacentral:rRNA from 1 species
GCAGCUUGCUGCUUCGCUGACGAGUGGCGGACGGGUGAGUAAUGUCUGGGAAACUGCCCGAUGGAGGGGGAUAACUACUGGAAACGGUAGCUAAUACCGCAUAAUGUCGCAAGACCAAAGAGGGGGACCUUCGGGCCUCUUGCCAUCGGAUGUGCCCAGAUGGGAUUAGCUUGUUGGUGAGGUAACGGCUCACCAAGGCGACCAUCCCUAGCUGGUCUGAGAGGAUGACCAGCCACACUGGAACUGAAACACGGUCCAGACUCCUACGGGAGGCAGCAGUGGGGAAUAUUGCACAAUGGGCGCAAGCCUGAUGCAACCAUGCCGCGUGUAUGAAGAAAGCCUUCCGGUUGUAAAGUACUUUCAGCGGGGAAGAAGGGGUUAAGGUUAAUAACCUUAGCCAUUGACGUUACCCGCAGAAGAAGCACCGGCUAACUCCGUGCCAGCAGCCGCGGUAAUACCGAAGGUGCAAGCGUUAAUCGGAAUUACUGGGCGUAAAGCGCACGCAGGCGGUCUGUCAAGUCGGAUGUGAAAUCCCCGGGCUCAACCUGGGAACUGCAUUCCAAACUGGCAGGCUUG